rnacentral:rRNA from 1 species
UAUUGCACAAUGGGCGCAAGCCUGAUGCAGCCAUGCCGCGUGUGUGAAGAAGGCCUUCGGGUUGUAAAGCACUUUCAGUAAGGAGGAAAGGAUAGUCUUUAAUAGAGGUUAUCUGUGACGUUACUUACAGAAGAAGCACCGGCUAACUCCGUGCCAGCAGCCGCGGUAAUACGGAGGGUGCGAGCGUUAAUCCGAAUUACUGGGCGUAAAGCGUACGCAGGCGGUUUGUUAAGCGAGAUGUGAAAGCCCCGGGCUCAACCUGGGAACUGCAUUUCGAACUGGCAAACUAGAGUAUGAUAGAGGGUGGUAGAAUUUCAGGUGUAGCGGUGAAAUGCGUAGAGAUUUGAAGGAAUACCGAUGGCGAAGGCAGCCACCUGGGUCAACACUGUCGCUCAUUACGAAG